rnacentral:rRNA from 1 species
GAUCAUGGCUCAGGAUGAACGCUAGCUACAGGCUUAACACAUGCAAGUCGAGGGGCAGCAUGGUCUUAGCUUGCUAAGGCUGAUGGCGACCGGCGCACGGGUGAGUAACACGUAUCCAACCUGCCGUCUACUCUUGGCCAGCCUUCUGAAAGGAAGAUUAAUCCAGGAUGGCAUCAUGAGUUCACAUGUCCGCAUGAUUAAAGGUAUUUUCCGGGUAAGACGA